UACACUCCUGCGGGAGGCAGCAGUGGGGAAUUUUGGACAAUGGGCGAAAGCCUGAUCCAGCAAUGCCGCGUGCAGGAUGAAGGCCUUCGGGUUGUAAACUGCUUUUGUACGGAACGAAAAAGCUCCUUCUAAUACAGGGGGCCCAUGACGGUACCGUAAGAAUAAGCACCGGCUAACUACGUGCCAGCAGCCGCGGUAAUACGUAGGGUGCGAGCGUUAAUCGGAAUUACUGGGCGUAAAGCGUGCGCAGGCGGUUAUGUAAGACAGAUGUGAAAUCCCCGGGCUCAACCUGGGAACUGCAUUUGUGACUGCAUGGCUAGAGUACGGUAGAGGGGGAUGGAAUUCCGCGUGUAGCAGUGAAAUGCGUAGAUAUGCGGAGGAACACCGAUGGCGAAGGCAAUCCCCUGGACCUGUACUGACGCUCAUGCACGAAAGCGUGGGGAGCAAACAGGAUUAGAAACCCGGGUAGUCCCA
rnacentral:rRNA from 1 species